CAACUGUGAAACAGCAAUUGAAGUUUAAACUAAUAUAUCACUAGUCUAUACAGCAAAAAAAAAAAAAACUCAAAAACAGAAAUCAAAACAACAAGCCAGAGAAAAAAAGCAGCAAACAAAAAUUAAAAUCAACUAUCCUCUAUCUAAUUAAAAAAAAAACUAAAAUAAGCAGAAUAAUAAAUGCUAUAACAGCAGCGAACAGAAAAUUUUGAAUCCCCACACUUGUGAGUUUAUUUUGUACAUGGUGUGGGCAAGAAUUAUUCCUGAAUGUAAAACUUAAAAGAUUAUAUAACCAGCAAAGAAAUAAAAUUGUUCACACUAGAUGAAUAUGACGGAGAAAAAUUGAAAUUUCAACUUUUCCUAUAUCUAUGUUUUGGACUUAGCUCACUAGAUGCUUUUAUUACAAAUGCAGUAACCUAUUCAACACGGGCAUCUGCCACUGGACCGCCUGAUGAUCACACGAUUUUGAUAGUCUCACUCAUAUGACCACUGUGCCAUCAACUCGCCUUCGUCGGAAUUCUUACGCUAUAAAUUUCAUUUACAGAAGUAGCAAGUUGUCCAAUUUGAGUCUUUAAAUUUUGGACUGUAGCCUCCAUGGUUGGAUCAACUUUGGCUUGCUGUUGAGGUGCAAGGUCUGGUGGCCUGUACUGCUGAUACUGUCCAGAAUUGGAUCCUAGAUUCAGCUUGAACAGUGGAACAGGAAUGGACUGUUGGAAAUAUUGCACUGGUGGCAACGAAGGAGGUUGUUAGGAUACAGGGUGAUAGGACAUUAUGGGUAAUGGGUUUAGGAUAGAAGGCAGAGGAGUAAAGAAGAGCGGGUUUGUCAGGCUGUCAGAGGGAGAGAGAGUAUAAAUAAACCUUUUGGAUAAUUCUGGAAGGGGGGAAUCAUUUUUACUAUUUGUAAACAGGUCUUGGACCUUGUUGAGGGGAAUUAGGCCUCCGCUAGGGUUAAGAGGAAGAUUAGGCCUCCAUUAACGCUACCUGUGUACCUUCUUUCAAUAUCAAUACAGAAACCCAUUCCUUUUACAGUGUUAAUUCUUGUUUGUGUGUGUGAUUGGGUUGUCUUAGUUAGGUCUCUAACUCAGGAACCUAACAGAGGUGGUGGUAUAUAAUGAAGGUUAGGAAUCCAUCCUGAAGUAUAUAUUGCUGAAGAAGGAUUCUGCUGUUGCUCUGUGACCUUGAUUCUGGUUCUGCCAGGCUUGUUGGGGCUGUCGAAAUGCAUUCUGUUGGCCCUGAUAAAUUACAGCUACCAACUCUGUUCCAAUAUUAGAGACUUCUUGCAGCUGAGGGCACUGAUCAGUGAAAUGUUCAUUUGAAGCACACAGGCCACAAUGCUUUGCAACUCCAUUCACCUGCUGAUUCAGAGUCACUUCCCUCAUUAAUGUAAUCAACUCCAGAAUUUUAUUCCCAAUCAUCAAAUUAUUUUCAGUGAACAAGUUUGCUCCAUUCAUAGCAUUCACAUCAACCUUAUCAUGCCUCUAUCUACUGUUAUUGCUUCUCAAACUGAAUUGUUGACUAUUAUCAGCUAUAUUUGAAAUGAGAUAUCGGGCAGCAGAUGGAGUCUUAUCCAUAAACACUCCUCUACUUGCAGCAGCAGCUGCUCACUGAUUUGGUGGUCAGGGCAGGUUGCACACAGUUUAUUGAAGUUCUCAAUACUCAAAUAGACUUUCUCCUUGUGACUGCCUUAUUCCACUUAUUUCCUCCCUAACUGAUACGGUCUUGGAUGCUGGCAAAACUUUUCUAGGAACUUUGUCUUCGCUUUGUUGGGAAUAUAAGUGUGAGUCCAAGUGUCAUAUUAGAUAUAAAUGAGAUAAUAGAGCAACUUAUAAAGAUGAAAGACCCAUUAACCCAUUGCCUUAAGGUUUUGGGUAAAAAGUGUUGUCGAUCCCUUAUAUAGUUGGCUCAGAUGUUAUUGGUGUUUGUGUAACCCACAGGAACCUCUUCCUUGAUAGACCCAACACUGAUAUCAGAGCCCGAUGGUUUGUCUUGGUGACCGGCUCGGAUGAGUAUAAUGGCAACUCGUGAUUGUGGUUGGUUGGGAAUGCUUCCGCUGGAGGGAGAGUCUACCUAUGUGGAAGAUACUCACCCUGGGAGAGAUUGUUGGGAAAAUAACUAAUGCAAAGUCCGCAAAAAUAGCUAAUACAAAGGAGAUACCCGCGUGAAGCAGAUCCGAGUACAAGCUCUCAGAAGAGAGUUUGAACAUAUGGAGAUGGAAGGAAGGAAAAAUUUAAGUUUACGGGGGAAUUUGUUGGGAUAAACUUAAAUUUUAGGGUUUUAUUAAUAAUUUUUGUUUAAAUCUUAUUUUAUUAGUUUUUGGGUAUAGUAAUAUUUAGUUUGAUUUGAUAGAGAUAAAAUAGGGAUACAUAAUUAUGAUUUUCGAUUUAUCUAUGUACAAUAUUAUUUUAUGAUAUAGUUGAUAUUUUAUUUUUA